rnacentral:rRNA from 1 species
UACGGGGGGGGCAAGCGUUGUUCGGAAUUACUGGGCGUAAAGGGCUCGUAGGCGGCCAACUAAGUCGGAUGUGAAAUCCCCAGGCUUAACCUGGGAACUGCAUCCGAUACUGGAUGGCUUGAAUCCGGGAGAGGGAUGCGGAAUUCCAGGUGUAGCGGUAAAAUGCGUUUAUAUCUGUAAGAACACCAAAGGCGAAAGCAGCUUGCUGGAAUGGUCCUGACACUCAUGGACGAAAGCGUGGGGAGCGAAAAGG